AGAGUUUGAUCCUGGCUCAGGAUGAACGCUAGCGACAGGCUUAACACAUGCAAGUCGAGGGGCAGCGGGGGCGUAGCAAUAUGCCUGCCGGCGACCGGCGCACGGGUGAGUAACACGUAUGUAACCUGCCCUAUGCAGGGGGAUAACCCGGAGAAAUCCGGCCUAAUACCGCGUAACACCUUAGGGGAGCAUUCUCUUGAGGUUAAAGGAGAGAUCCGGCAUAGGAUGGACAUGCGUCGCAUUAGGUAGACGGCGGGGUAACGGCCCACCGUGCCGACGAUGCGUAGGGGUUCUGAGAGGAAGGCCCCCCACACUGGUACUGAGACACGGACCAGACUCCUACGGGAGGCAGCAGUGAGGAAUAUUGGUCAAUGGCCGAGAGGCUGAACCAGCCAAGUCGCGUGAGGGAAGAAUGUCCUAAGGAUUGUAAACCUCUUUUGUCGGGGAGCAAAAAGGCUCUGCGGAGUCGUAUUGAGAGUACCCGAAGAAAAAGCAUCGGCUAACUCCGUGCCAGCAGCCGCGGUAAUACGGAGGAUGCGAGCGUUAUCCGGAUUUAUUGGGUUUAAAGGGUGCGCAGGCGGCGUGUCAAGCAAGCGGUAAAAUAGCGGGGCUCAACCCCGUCGAGCCGUUUGAACUGGCGCGCUUGAGUUCAGGCGAGGUAGGCGGAAUUCGUGGUGUAGCGGUGAAAUGCAUAGAUAUCACGAAGAACUCCGAUUGCGAAGGCAGCUUACCAGUCUGCGACUGACGCUCAGGCACGAAAGUGUGGGUAUCGAACAGGAUUAGAUACCCUGGUAGUCCACACAGUAAACGAUGAGCGCUAGGUGUCCGGGUCGCAUGAGACUUGGGUGCCCGAGCGAAAGCGUUAAGCGCUCCACCUGGGGAGUACGCCGGCAACGGUGAAACUCAAAGGAAUUGACGGGGGCCCGCACAAGCGGAGGAACAUGUGGUUUAAUUCGAUGAUACGCGAGGAACCUUACCCGGGCUCAAACGACUCAGGAAUAUAUUGGAAACGAUGUAGCCAGCAAUGGUCUGAGUCGAGGUGCUGCAUGGUUGUCGUCAGCUCGUGCCGUGAGGUGUCGGCUUAAGUGCCAUAACGAGCGCAACCCCUACCGCCAGUUGCCAACGGGUAAAGCCGGGAACUCUGGCGGGACUGCCGGCGCAAGCUGCGAGGAAGGCGGGGAUGACGUCAAAUCAGCACGGCCCUUACGUCCGGGGCGACACACGUGUUACAAUGGCAGGUACAGCGGGAAGCCACCUGGUGACAGGGAGCGGAACCCGAAAGCCUGUCUCAGUUCGGAUUGGAGUCUGCAACUCGACUCCAUGAAGCUGGAUUCGCUAGUAAUCGCGCAUCAGCCAUGGCGCGGUGAAUACGUUCCCGGGCCUUGCACUCACCGCCCGUCA
rnacentral:rRNA from 1 species